rnacentral:rRNA from 1 species
UGGGUAACCUGCCUCAAAGAGGGGAAUAGCCUCCCGAAAGGGAGAUUAAUACCGCAUGAUAUGUUUUGGUCACAUGGCCUUAACAUCAAAGGAUUUUCUUCGGAAAAUUCACUUUGAGAUGGACCCGCGGCGCAUUAGCUAGUUGGUGAGGUAACGGCUCACCAAGGCGACGAUGCGUAGCCGACCUGAGAGGGUGAUCGGCCACAUUGGAACUGAGACACGGUCCAGACCUCUACGGGAGG